AGCAGCCGCGGUAAUUCCAGCUCCAAUAGCGUAUAUUAAAGUUGUUGCAGUUAAAAGCUCGUAGUUGAAUUUCGGGAUUGGUGCGCUGGUCAUGCCUUUGGUAUGUACUGGUGUUACUGAUUCCUACCUUCUGAAGAACCGUCAUGUCAUUCAUUUGGUGUGGCGGGGAAUCAGGACUGUUACUUUGAAAAAAUUAGAGUGUUUAAAGCAGGCUCGCGCUUGAAUACAUUAGCAUGGAAUAAUGAAAUAGGACGUUUGACCCUAUUUUGUUGGUUUCUAGGAUCGACGUAAUGAUUAAUAGGGAUAGUUGGGGGCAUUAGUAUUCAAUUGUCAGAGGUGAAAUUCUUGGAUUUAUUGAAGACUAACUACUGCGAAAGCAUUUGCCAAGGAUGUUUUCAUUAAUCAAGAACGAAAGUUAGGGGAUCGAAGACGAUCAGAUACCGUCGUAGUCUUAACCAUAAACUAUGCCGACUAGGGAUCGGAUGAUGUUAUUUUUAAUGACUCAUUCGGCGCCUUACGG
rnacentral:sRNA from 1 species